AGGGUUCGAUUAUGGCUCAGGAUGAACGCUGGCGGCGUGCUUAACACAUUCAAGUCGUACGAACUGAUUUUGAAGCUUGCUUCGGAAGAAAGUUAGUGGCGGACGGGUGAGUAACGCGUGAGCAACCUGCCUUUGUGAGGGGGAUAACACAGGGAAACUUGUGCUAAUACCGCAUGACGCAUACGAAAGACAUCUUUAGUAUGUUAAAGGAGCAAUCCGCACAAAGAUGGGCUCGCGUCUGAUUAGAUAGUUGGUGGGGUAACGGCCUACCAAGUCGACGAUCAGUAGCCGGACUGAGAGGUUGAACGGCCACAUUGGAACUGAGAAACGGUCCAG
rnacentral:rRNA from 1 species